GCUGGAGGUGAAAGUCUGGCCUGGCAGCCUUCCCCAGGUGAGCAGCAACAAGGUGAGAGAAUGCAGAGCUGCAGGCCACGUGGUGCUGGGUCUCAGUCCUCCACUUCCCGUGUCCUCUGGAAGUUGUCGGGAGCAAUGUUCCGCUUCUACGUGUUGGUUAUGGGAGUUUCUGCCUUCACCCUUCAGCCUGUGGUACACACAGGGGCUGCCAGAAGCUGCCGGUUUCGUGGGCGGCAUUACAAGCGGGAGUUCAGGCUGGAAGGGGAGCCUGUGGCCCUGAGGUGCCCCCAGGUGCCCUACUGGUUGUGGGCCUCUGUCAGCCCCCGCAUCAACCUGACAUGGCAUAAAAAUGACUCUGCUAGGACGGUCCCAGGAGAAGAAGAGACACGGAUGUGGGCCCAGGACGGUGCUCUGUGGCUUCUGCCAGCCUUGCAGGAGGACUCUGGCACCUACGUCUGCACUACUAGGUAAGCCUCCCCGUGCGGGGCUGGGGAGGGGAUCCUGGCAGGAUGGAGGCUUGUGAGGGUCUUUAGUCAUGAUCUGGAUCUCAGAAUCCAGUGUACAAAAUACAAAUCCAGUGAAUCCACAUUGCAUCCAGCUUGCUGUUCC
rnacentral:sRNA from 1 species